UGAGAGUAACUGUUCACCCAGUGACGGUAUUUAACCAGAAAGCCACGGCUAACUACGUGCCAGCAGCCGCGGUAAUACGUAGGUGGCAAGCGUUAUCCGGAUUUAUUGGGCGUAAAGCGAGCGCAGGCGGUCUUUUAAGUCUAAUGUGAAAGCCUUCGGCUCAACCGAAGAAGUGCAUUGGAAACUGGGAGACUUGAGUGCAGAAGAGGACAGUGGAACUCCAUGUGUAGCGGUGAAAUGCGUAGAUAUAUGGAAGAACACCAGUGGCGAAGGCGGCUGUCUGGUCUGUAACUGACGCUGAGGCUCGAAAGCAUGGGUAGCGAACAGGAUUAGAUACCCUGGUAGUCCAUGCCGUAAACGAUGAUUACUAAGUGUUGGAGGGUUUCCGCCCUUCAGUGCUGCAGCUAACGCAUUAAGUAAUCCGCCUGGGGAGUACGACCGCAAGGUUGAAACUCAAAAGAAUUGACGGGGGCCCGCACAAGCGGUGGAGCAUGUGGUUUAAUUCGAAGCUACGCGAAGAACCUUACCAGGUCUUGACAUCUUCUGCCAACCUAAGAGAUUAGGCGUUCCCUUCGGGGACAGAAUGACAGGUGGUGCAUGGUUGUCGUCAGCUCGUGUCGUGAGAUGUUGGGUUAAGUCCCGCAACGAGCGCAACCCUUAUUACUAGUUGCCAGCAUUCAGUUGGGCACUCUAGUGAGACUGCCGGUGACAAACCGGAGGAAGGUGGGGACGACGUCAAAUCAUCAUGCCCCUUAUGACCUGGGCUACACACGUGCUACAAUGGAUGGUACAACGAGUCGCGAAACCGCGAGGUUUAGCUAAUCUCUUAAAACCAUUCUCAGUUCGGACUGUAGGCUGCAACUCGCCUACACGAAGUCGGAAUCGCUAGUAAUCGCGGAUCAGCAUGCCGCGGUGAAUACGUUCCCGGGCCUUGUACACACCGCCCGUCACACCAUGAGAGUUUGUAACACCCAAAGCCGGUGGGGUAAC
rnacentral:rRNA from 1 species